rnacentral:lncRNA from 1 species
CAGAGCAGUACAUGUCGUACCACCGACCGAUCGACACCAUCGAUCGACACAAAAAGUUAAACCUUACCUAGAACUCUAUGGAUUUCUUGUCUAACCAUCUUAACUAUAUAUUCUUUUUUAGACAUUGCUAAAGUUGCUAUAUAUAUAUAUAUAUAUAUAUAUAUAUAUAUAUAUAUAUGUGUGUGUAUGUAUAUAUACAUACAUACAUGUAUGUAUAUAUACAUACAUACAUAUAUAUAUAUACAUAUAUAUAGCCUAGAAAAAUUAGUAAAAUUUCGUAGAUGCUCUGCUUCGCACAUGAUUUCAGAGAUACCCAUUUAUAUUUGACAAACUUCCAUGAAUGCCUUUCAAAAUAUUACAAACGGCCUCUGAAGUUGAAAAAAAUUCAUGAAUACCAUUUCAGUUUGAAAUUUUGUAUGGUUAUGUACUUAUAAAUGGAAAAACUAGCU